UACGGAGGGUGCAAGCGUUAAUCGGAAUUACUGGGCGUAAAGCGCGCGUAGGCGGUUUGUUAAGCUAGAUGUGAAAGCCCCGGGCUCAACCUGGGAACUGCAUUUAGAACUGGCGAACUAGAGUACAGAAGAGGGUGGUGGAAUUUCCAGUGUAGCGGUGAAAUGCGUAGAUAUUGGAAGGAACAUCAGUGGCGAAGGCGGCCACCUGGUCUGAUACUGACGCUGAGGUGCGAAAGCGUGGGGAGCAAACAGG
rnacentral:rRNA from 1 species